GCAAAGGGCCAUUAUUUUUAAAAAAAAAAAAAGGAAAUCAAAAUCCCACUGACUCGUAAAAAUUAACUUUUGCUUACCCGCUCAUUACUCCCUCUUCUUUUCAUCUAUGUCGCUCGCCCUAAAUUUUUCUCUCUUUCGUUUCUUUUCACUGUCUAGAUAUAUCCGCCUCUCUCAUCUUCGUGUAGCGUUGUUUAUACGUUUGGUUGUUGUUGAAGAAGUGCUACUACCAUGGCUACAAAGAAGAGCGUUGGGGACUUGAAGGAAGCUGAUUUGAAGGGAAAGAAAGUGUUUGUUAGAGUCAUUUGCUAGAUCUGUUGAUGAUGGUCGUGAAGCUCAAGCUCUGCGUCUAAAGGAAUUCUUCGCCGAUCCUCGCCGAUCCUUCUCAUUUUCCUGUUGACCAGAUCUCUCGCCACAACUCUCUUGGAGGCACGUGCCGAGUCAACUGAUGGACUGAGGCCAAUUUUCUUUACAAUAAAUGUGGCGGUUUAUUCCAUUCAGAAUCAAGUGUGAGCAAUAACAUAAAUCAUGCUCUGGAAGUCCAUCAGCACAAGAGAGAUGUUCCCUUCUCUACUUUAGGCCCAUUGAAGGCUAAUGAACGUAAAGAUCUGAAUUGUGCGGUAAAGGAAUAUUUGCUGAUAGGUGGAUAUCGAUUAACUGCAAUGACAUUUUGUGAAGAGGUUACAGAUCAGGGAAUCUUAUGCAUUGGCUUUCUCAAACGUUCUCGCCAGCAAAAGGAAAUUACAAGGGAUCAAGCAGUUCAAGAUCUGGAGGAAUUGGAGAGAAGAGGAGAAGAAUUUGAACAAUUGCUGUUGGCAGAAAGGGUAUGAGAGAAUGUGGGUGAUUAAGUCAAAUGGAGAAAGGGACAUCAUAUCCUUGUUGUGUGCAAGUGUUUUCUCCCUGAGACAGGCAAGGAACCUGACAUCAAGAAUGGUUCAACUUAAAGAUGCUUCCUUGUACUCAUUCUCAUCCUCUUUAUAUUUUUCGAUGCUUUCUUCAAGCAGGAUACUAAGAAUUUCCUGUACUAUUCUUUUUGAUUGCUUAUAAAAUAGUUUGCUCAUUAGAACCUUCAUUUUCUCGUCUUUUUUUUUAUUUGUGUAAAUCAUUUUUCUUUGUUUAGUGACACAACGAAUCUUUGAACAUAAUUUCUGUUGAGUUACAUAUAAAUGAUUUUUUAAAAA